AUAUCUGAUACGUCCCCCAUCGGGGGACUACAUAUUAAAUGGAUUUUUCUAACAGGGAGUCGGAAAUGGGGCUUGCUCCGUCCGCUCCACGCAUCGACCCGGUAUUGCAGUACCUCCGGGAAUGGUGCAACACUU
rnacentral:snRNA from 8 species